AACGAACGCUGGCGGCAGGCUUAACACACGCAAGUCGAGCGCCCCGCAAGGGGAGCGGCAGACGGGUGAGUAACGCGUGGGAACGUACCCUUUGCUACGGAAUAGCUCCGGGAAACUGGAAUUAAUACCGUAUGUGCCCUACGGGGGGAAAGAUUUAUCGGCAAAGGAUCGGCCCGCGUUGGAUUAGCUAGUUGGUGGGGUAAUGGCCUACCAAGGCGACGAUCCAUAGCUGGUCUGAGAGGAUGAUCAGCCACAUUGGGACUGAGACCCGGCCCAAACUCCUACGGGAGGCAGCAGUGGGGAAUAUUGGACAAUGGGCGCAAGCCUGAUCCAGCCAUGCCGCGUGAGUGAUGAAGGCCUUAGGGUUGUAAAGCUCUUUCACCGGAGAAGAUAAUGACGGUAUCCGGAGAAGAAGCCCCGGCUAACUUCGUGCCAGCCGCCGCAGUAAAAC
rnacentral:rRNA from 1 species